AUUGAACGCUGGCGGCAUGCCUUACACAUGCAAGUCGAACGGCAGCACGGGAGCAAUCCUGGUGGCGAGUGGCGAACGGGUGAGUAAAGUAUCGGAACGUGCCCAGUCGUGGGGGAUAACGUAGCGAAAGUUACGCUAAUACCGCAUACGAUCUAUGGAUGAAAGCGGGGGAGCGCAAGACCUUGCGCGAUUGGAGCGGCCGAUAUCAGAUUAGGUAGUUGGUGGGGUAAAGGCUCACCAAGCCGACGAUCUGUAGCUGGUCUGAGAGGACGACCAGCCACACUGGGACUGAGACACGGCCCAGACUCCUACGGGAGGCAGCAGUGGGGAAUUUUGGACAAUGGGCGAAAGCCUGAUCCAGCCAUGCCGCGUGCAGGAUGAAGGCCUUCGGGUUGUAAACUGCUUUUGGACGGAACGAAAAGGUUUGGCCUAAUAAGCUGAGCUCAUGACGGUACCGUAAGAAUAAGCACCGGCUAACUACGUGCCAGCCGCCGCAGUAA
rnacentral:rRNA from 1 species